rnacentral:rRNA from 1 species
AGUGAACGCUGGCGGCAGGCCUAAUACAUGCAAGUCGAACGGCAGCACAGCAGAGCUUGCUCUGUGGGUGGCGAGUGGCGGACGGGUGAGGAAUACGUGGGAAUCUGCCCAGUCGUGGGGAUAACGUAGGGAAACUUACGCUAAUACCGCAUGCGCCCUUCGGGGAAAGCCGGGGACCUUCGGGCCUGGCGCGAUUGGAUGAGCCCACGUCGGAUUAGCUAGUUGGCGGGUAAAGGCCCACCAAGGCGACGAUCCGUAGCUGGUCUGAGAGGAUGAUCAGCCACACUGGAACUGAGACACGGUCCAGACUCCUACGGGAGCAGCAGUAGGGAAUAUUGGACAAUGGGCGCAAGCCUGAUCCAGCCAUGCCGCGUGAGUGAAGAAGGCCCUCGGGUGUGAAGCUCUUUUGUCCGGAAAGAAAAGCGCCGGGUUAAUACCCUGGUGUCCUGACGGUACCGGAAGAAUAAGCACCGGCUAACUUCGUGCCAGCAGCCGCGGUAAU